ACAGCAGUCGCCACGGUAAUACGUAGGUCCCGAGCGUUGUUCGGAUUUACUGGGCGUAAAGGGCGCGUAGGCGGACUGAUAAGUCAGGGGUGAAAUCCCAAGGCUCAACCUUGGAACUGCCUUUGAUACUGUUUGUCUUGAGUUCGAGAGAGGUAAGUGGAACUGCGAGUGUAGAGGUGAAAUUCGUAGAUAUUCGCAAGAACACCAGUGGCGAAGGCGGCUUACUGGCUCGAAACUGACGCUGAGGCGCGAAAGCGUGGGGAGCAAACAGGAUUAGAUACCCGCGUAGUCCCUGUCUCUUAUAC
rnacentral:rRNA from 1 species